CGGUCCUACGGGACGCAGCAGUGAGGAAUAUUGGUCAAUGGGCGGAAGCCUGAACCAGCCAAGUCGCGUGAGGGAAUAAGGCCCUACGGGUCGUAAACCUCUUUUGCCGGGGAGCAAGGGCCGGGACGCGUCCCGGCCCGGAGAGUACCCGGAGAAAAAGCAUCGGCUAACUCCGUGCCAGCAGCCGCGGUAAUACGGAGGAUGCGAGCGUUAUCCGGAUUUAUUGGGUUUAAAGGGUGCGUAGGCGGGCUUUUAAGUCAGCGGUAAAAAUUCGGUGCU
rnacentral:rRNA from 1 species